AUGCAAGUCGAGCGGAAAGGCCCUUCGGGGUACUCGAGCGGCGAACGGGUGAGUAACACGUGAGCAACCUGCCCCUGACUCUGGGAUAAGCCCGGGAAACUGGGUCUAAUACCGGAUAUGACCGCCCCUGGCAUCGGGUGGUGGUGGAAAGUUUUUCGGUUGGGGAUGGGCUCGCGGCCUAUCAGCUUGUUGGUGGGGUAGUGGCCUACCAAGGCGACGACGGGUAGCCGGCCUGAGAGGGCGACCGGCCACACUGGGACUGAGACACGGCCCAGACUCCUACGGGAGGCAGCAGUGGGGAAUAUUGCGCAAUGGGCGGAAGCCUGACGCAGCGACGCCGCGUGGGGGAUGACGGCCUUCGGGUUGUAAACCUCUUUCAGCAGGGACGAAGUUGACGUGUACCUGCAGAAGAAGCGCCGGCUAACUACGUGCCAGCAGCCCGGGGGUAAUUC
rnacentral:rRNA from 1 species